ACUAAUGUCAUACAUCUCCUGCACUAAAUUAGAAACCCUCGCCUUCACCACCAAUAGCGGCGGGUCCACUGCUGCCGCCAUCAUUGGCAUGUGUUCUCAGACAUUCCUCCACCACCGUUCCUGACGAGUCCAUUGUCGUGCCAACACUGACAUUGUAACCACAAUUGCCACUCAGACAUGAUUGUCAUCGCAUUGCGUACAAAUCCAUCAGCCUCCCUCACCUUAUCAAGGAGAACAAGACCUAAGCAUAAUCCUUCGAUUUAACUACCACAAUAGACUCUUCAUUGUUGGCCACAACUGCAUGUGCUUCGUUGAGGAUUUUAGAUGGAUGACCGUUUGAUUUCUUGUUGGAAUGAGGGAGAAGGGAAUGAAUGAGGAAUUGGUGGAUAGCGACAGUGUUUGUGAUGGUGGUGGGUUGUUACAGGAAGGAAGUGGCUGUAGCAGGUGGUGACAGUGGGCCUAUGUUGAAAAGCAAUGAAGGUUGGACGGAGCGGAUGUUAGAAACAAUAGGACUAUAGGAGUUUUGAAGGGAGGAAGCUAUGGCAAUGCGGGAGAAGAGAUACAGCGCUGAAGGUCUACCCUAUUAAUAUGGACUGCAGAUUUUAGCCAACUAACUACUAUUAACCAACCAUCUAGAGUCCAUAGUUUACCUGGGCUAUUAUCAUGCAUAUUUUAACUCCUAUAUUGCUAAACAGAAAAGAAACUCAAAUUGAAGUUUAUUAAUAUCCUUAUCUACUA